AAUAGAUACCCUGGUAGUCCACGCCGUAAACGAUGAGUGCUAAGUGUUGGAGGGUUUCCGCCUUUCAGUGCUGCAGCUAACGCAUUAAGCACGUCCGCCUGGGGAGUACGGUCGCAAGACUGAAACUCAAAGGAAUUGACGGGGGCCCGCACAAGCGGUGGAGCAUGUGGUUUAAUUCGAAGCAACGCGAAGAACCUUACCAGGUCUUGACAUCUCCUGACCGCCCUGGAGACAGGGUCUUCCCUUCGGGGACAGGAUGACAGGUGGUGCAUGGUUGUCGUCAGCUCGUGUCGUGAGAUGUUGGGUUAAGUCCCGCAACGAGCGCAACCCUUGGUUCUAGUUGCCAGCAUUCAGUUGGGCACUCUAGAGCGACUGCCGGCGACAAGUCGGAGGAAGGUGGGGAUGACGUCAAAUCAUCAUGCCCCUUAUGACCUGGGCUACACACGUGCUACAAUGGAUGGUACAAAGGGCAGCGAAGCGGCGACGCAUAAGCGAAUCCCAGAAAACCAUUCUCAGUUCGGAUUG
rnacentral:rRNA from 1 species